rnacentral:rRNA from 1 species
UACGGGAGGAGCAAGCGUUGUUCGGAUUUACUGGGCGUAAAGGGCGCGUAGGCGGCCAGCACAAGUCAGUUGUGAAAUCUCCGAGCUUAACUCGGAAAGGUCAACUGAUACUGUGCGGCUAGAGUGCGGAAGGGGCAACUGGAAUUCUUGGUGUAGCGGUGAAAUGCGUAGAUAUCAAGAGGAACACCUGCGGCGAAGGCGGGUUGCUGGGCCGACACUGACGCUGAUGCGCGAAAGCUAGGGGAGCGAACAGG